rnacentral:rRNA from 1 species
UACGGAGGAUCCGAGCGUUAUCCGGAUUUAUUGGGUUUAAAGGGAGCGUAGGUGGAUUGUUAAGUCAGUUGUGAAAGUUUGCGGCUCAACCGUAAAAUUGCAGUUGAAACUGGCAGUCUUGAGUACAGUAGAGGUGGGCGGAAUUCGUGGUGUAGCGGUGAAAUGCGUAGAGAUUAGGAAGAACACCAGUGGCGAAGGCGACUUACUGGACUGUAACUGACGCUGAGGCAUGAGAGCAUGGGGAGCAAACAGG